UCCGUUGGUGAACCAGCGGAGGGAUCAUUACCGAGUUUACAACUCCCAAACCCCAAUGUGAACGUUACCAAUCUGUUGCCUCGGCGGGAUUCUCUUGCCCCGGGCGCGUCGCAGCCCCGGAUCCCAUGGCGCCCGCCGGAGGACCAACUCCAAACUCUUUUUUUCUCUCCGUCGCGGCUCCCGUCGCGGCUCUGUUUUAUUUUUGCUCUGAGCCUUUCUCGGCGACCCUAGCGGGCGUCUCGAAAAUGAAUCAAAACUUUCAACAACGGAUCUCUUGGUUCUGGCAUCGAUGAAGAACGCAGCGAAAUGCGAUAAGUAAUGUGAAUUGCAGAAUUCAGUGAAUCAUCGAAUCUUUGAACGCACAUUGCGCCCGCCAGUAUUCUGGCGGGCAUGCCUGUCCGAGCGUCAUUUCAACCCUCGAACCCCUCCGGGGGGUCGGCGUUGGGGAUCGGCCCCUCACCGGGCCGCCCCCGAAAUACAGUGGCGGUCUCGCCGCAGCCUCUCCUGCGCAGUAGUUUGCACACUCGCACCGGGAGCGCGGCGCGGCCACAGCCGUAAAACACCCCAAACUUCUGAAAUGUUGACCUCGGAUCAGGUAGGAAUACCCGCUGAACUUAAGCAUAUCAAUAAGCGGAGGA
rnacentral:rRNA from 1 species